GACAGAGGUGCCGAGCGUUAGGCGGAAUCACUGGGCUUAAAGCGUGUGUAGGCGGGUCGUUAAGUGUCUUGUGAAAUCCCCCGGCUCAACCCGGGGGAAUGGCUGGGCAUACUGGCGAUCUUGAGCAGUCUAGGGGCAGAUGGAACAAGUGGUGGAGCGGUGAAAUGCGUAGAUAUCACUUGGAACGCCAACGGUGAAGACAGUCUGCUGGGGACUUGCUGACGCUGAGACACGAAAGCCAGGGGAGCGAACGGG
rnacentral:rRNA from 1 species